UACGAAGGUCCCGAGCGUUGUUCGGAAUCACUGGGCGUAAAGGGUGCGUAGGUGGCGUGGAAAGUCAGAUGUGAAAUCUGGGGGCUCAACCUCCGAAUUGCAUCCGAUACUCCCAUGCUAGAGAACUGGAGGGGAGUCUGGAAUUCUCGGUGUAGCAGUGAAAUGCGUAGAUAUCGAGAGGAACACUAGUGGCGAAGGCGAGACUCUGGACAGUUUCUGACACUGAUGCACGAAGGCCAGGGUAGCGAACGGG
rnacentral:rRNA from 1 species